UACGUAGGGUGCGAGCGUUAAUCGGAAUUACUGGGCGUAAAGCGUGCGCAGGCGGUUGUGUAAGACAGAUGUGAAAUCCCCGGGCUCAACCUGGGAACUGCAUUUGUGACUGCACAGCUGGAGUGCGGCAGAGGGGGGAUGGAUCCGCGUGUAGCAGUGAAAUGCGUAGAUAUGCGGAGGAACACCGAUGGCGAAGGCAAUCCCCUGGGCCUGCACUGACGCUCAUGCACGGAAGCGUGGGGAGCAAACAGG
rnacentral:rRNA from 1 species